rnacentral:rRNA from 1 species
GACGAACGCUGGCGGCGUGCUUAACACAUGCAAGUCGAACGAAGAGCGAUGGAAGCUUGCUUCUAUCAAUCUUAGUGGCGAACGGGUGAGUAACGCGUAAUCAACCUGCCCUUCAGAGGGGGACAACAGUUGGAAACGACUGCUAAUACCGCAUACGAUCUAAUCUCGGCAUCGAGGAUAGAUGAAAGGUGGCCUCUACAUGUAAGCUAUCACUGAAGGAGGGGAUUGCGUCUGAUUAGCUAGUUGGAGGGGUAACGGCUCACCAAGGCGAUGAUCAGUAGCCGGUCUGAGAGGAUGAACGGCCACAUUGGGACUGAGACACGGCCCAGACUCCUACGGGAGGCAGCAGUGGGGAAUCUUCCGCAAUGGACGAAAGUCUGACGGAGCAACGCCGCGUGAGUGAUGACGGCCUUCGGGUUGUAAAGCUCUGUUAAUCGGGACGAAAGGCCUUCUUGCGAAUAGUGAGAAGGAUUGACGGUACCGGAAUAGAAAGCCACGGCUAACUACGUG